AUAAAGCUUAAAACGAAACAAUAAAAUUGCAAAUCAAAUUAAAAACAAGCACAAAAUUGAGUAUACGACGCAUAUUCCAAGCUGCAGAAAAUUGCCAGCGACGACGACAACAGCAACAACUGGCUGCAACUGGACACAGGUGUAUCUACACCCAGAAACCUAAGCUAAACAAAAAAUUAAAACUAAACUCGCAAAACAAAUAAGCAAGUGUGCGUAAAAAGGUUUAGCUUCAAUGCAAGUGUUAGAAAGUUCGUUAACAAGUGUUGGAAAACUGUAAAACCAAAUUAAAACAAAUAUUCUAAAAGAAA
rnacentral:sRNA from 1 species